CAGCAUUAUGACGUGACUUCGUUAAAUAUUAUCUCAGAGUUCCUUGUUUAGUCAACUGAGUUGAUAUGGCGAUUUUACAGUUGGCUGUUAGCCAGUCAGAAACAAUGAAUCCUUUAAAUACCUCCUUUUACCCCCAAAUUCCUCCCAAAUUUAUUUUCCUUUAUUUCAGCUAUUAUCAAAGAUGUUUAUCCGCGGAAACCAUCCAUUGUGUCAAAAUACGCUCUACCAGUGAUGUGGAAACUUCUCGAGUCUUCGAGCAGUGCAUCGACUGGCAGUGGAAAUAUGAAGGAAGCCGUUCACGGUUUGGCUAACCUACUUUAUUCUUUAAUGGGACAAUCUCUGUUUGAGCAGGCUCAAGCAAAGUCGCACAGAUUACGUCAAAAGCUCAAAGAGCUAUUGGGUCAAUGACUGGAUCAAUGAUUGACAAUCUGCUUUGUGAGCAGAGAAUGUUGGAAUGAGGUCCAGGCCACCUUCCAUAAAAGGCAGUUACACACACAGAGAAAAUUCCGUCCCGCCAACACGCUGAGCUUUUGCCGCGUUCGAUCUGGUCACCAUUAGCUCAGCUUCGGCCGUACACCAACAGUCAGAACAUGAAAACUGGCCGAAUUGGGCUCACUACUGCUCGGAUAUUUUGCUCUUGCUUACGAUAGAUUCUCUAUCAAGACCGUCUCUCCUUCAGACAAUAAUAUAAGCUCCUAUUCGUUAGGGGUAGCCUUUUGGUAAUAACUUCCACGCUUAUUUUAGAGGGAGAAAUCUAUAAGCCCGCGCCCAUCCCUGGCCAAUAUGCCAUUCGCUAUUGGUCCACUCUCCAAGAAAGCCCUCUCCCUCAAGCGUGUUUGAAACAACUAAUCCCCCCGGAGACUUGAUAUAGGAUUUACCGUCAGGAAUGGAAGGUGGUGGUCGCCUUUUAUAAAAAAAACUUCCCUGGUGUUGACAAGUUGUCUUAAAAGAGAGUUGUAUAAUAUUUAAUAUAUUAAUAAUGUUUUUAACAUUUGUACAUACACAAUGCGUGAACAUUUUAAAAAGAGUGAAAAUUCAAUUUGAAUUUAUACAUGGC